GGACCUUCGUGGUUGUGCUGCCUAUUGUCCAAUAUCCGAAAACAGUUGUUUAUUGUAUUUUAUCUAGUUUUCUAGUGGUCUGGAAGGUAAUUUCAAAUUGCUUUAUUUCCUUAUAGACAGAAAAAGAAAUUUAGUUUGCCUUUAACCCUCACCCUGUUUCCCAUUGUCAUGCUUUUUUUCUCUACUACUCAGUCCCCAGCAUUAGUUUUAUCUUACUAUUUUGGGUGAGUGGGAUGGGAAAGGCUUAGCUCAUGUGCACAAGUAAAGGAAGAUAAGGAAAAGAGAGCAAAGCACCAACAAGGCAAGCAAAUCUUUCUGUUUCUAAGAUUGCUUUCUGCAUUAACAAAUUUCCCAAGCAUUUUAUGCUAAAAUAUUCUCUGUCCUUUUUUUUUUUUCAGCCUUACCUAAUGGUCUAAUUAGGUAAGAUUGUCUUCUUUCCAUAAGUCUACUAUAUUAAUGUGCUAAAUGAAUGUAUAAUUAUUUUCCUGUGUUUUAACAAAACUCUCUCAUUUUGUUAGUUUCUUAUCACUCAGUAUCCCAAAAGGAGACCUUAGGAGGUAGUAAAGAAUGGAGAAAACAUCAAGAUAUUACAAAAGUGGUAAAAAAAAAAAUUGUGUCUUAGGCACUGUGGUUAUGAGAACAUUCUUCUUGGAGUUAAUGUUUGCUUCUCAUGGAAGCAUAUUUUUUAUGUCUGCCCACAAUCAUUUAUCAUUCAUAUUUCUACCUGGGAGAGUAUUUAUUUAAGAUCCAGGAGGCCAGCUCGAAUACCCUGGAGAAGGGACCCAGAAGAUAAAGUAGAUUUUUCCCAUAUGACCUGCUUUCUGCUAUUUUUUAUUUUAUGACUUUGGCAUAACUGGUUCUUCCUUUAUUUAUCUCAAAGAUACCGAGGUUAUUUUUCAUAAACACUGUUUUCUUUAGGUAGAAUGAAGCCACUUUAAUAAACUAGUUUAACAGUAUUUGUAAAUGUCUCUUCACCACUCUAUUUUAAGAAGAUAGUAUUUAAUAUUGACAAACUUUCUUAUAUGAUGCUGUAUUUUUAUUUUCCACAGUACUAAUUAUCGUCCUAUGUACUCAAUUGGUUCUUAUGGAUUUACUUCUGCUCCACUGUAACCUGUUCUGUUGCCUCUCCACCCUACCCUCUAUACUCACUUUCUAACCUUUUCUGCUUUGCUUUGACCCCCAGGUUUACAAAAUGCAUUGUCUGGCCCCCCUUAUCUGGCUUCCUUGCCUUGGUGGUUGGGUCCAGAAAAUUGAAAAUCCCAGUAGAUGAUUGGAGGGAGAAAGAGAGAGAGGAAGGUGCAUUUCCUUUGCUGUUCUUUUUUCUCAGAGUUUGGCAAAGGCUGUGUUCUUCCAUAGAUGGCAGCUCUUUUGAGGUGACCUCUUUCUCUUAUUUCAGCUCUACCAGGGUUCAGAUACCACUGCACCUUCUAUUUGCCCCUUCAGGCUUUGGCAUAGUGACAGCUCUUCCAUUGUGGGUAAUUCACUAAGCCCUGUUAGCUGCUUUAGCCUACCCAUGCCUUUGUAAGUAGUCCCUUCAUUAAACUCUCUUCAGCUAAACACUUUUGAAUGUGGUCUUUUUCUUACUGGGAUAUGUCUGAUAUAAAUCCCUUUUCAUAUAGUGUCUGGAGAGCUCAUUUUAAAACCUAAGUCAAAUAAGGCCACUCCUCUAUUCCAAACUCUUCAAUGAUCUUCUUUACCAUUAGAAUCAAAUCCAAAUGCCUUGACAAACCUCAAGAUCUUAACUCUGCAAUUUCACAUUUUUCCAGUCUCUCCCUCUCUUAUUCUGUUCCAGCCACAAUGGUUUUCUCUAUCUUCCAUGAACAUGUCAAGCUCAUUCAUUCCUUGGGGCCUAUAUACUCGCUCUUCUUUUAACUGGCAAAGUCAUCCUCUAGGUCUUUACAUGACUGACUUCUCAUCAUUCACAUUUCUGCUCAAUCUUUACUUCCUUCAAGAGACCUUCAUUGAUCAGCUUAUCUAAAUCAAUAUUUUAUAUCUUAUUACCUUCAAUAUUCUUUCUAGAUGAGUCAACAAUUCUAGCAGAAGGAUCAUUUUCAUUUGAGACACCACCCCUCCAUUUAAAACUCAACAGGCUCUGCACAUGUGGGUUCUUUCAGAAGUGCAGCCAUGGUGUCUCUGCAGUGAGGCUUGCCACCUUUCCACUUCUCAUUUGAUGCUCAAUUUCUUCCCUUAGCUACAGGAGACUCCCACACCCUGGCUCUACUCAGACACACUAAACAUCACACAGACUGUUGUGUUCAACCUGUCUUUCAACAAUAGAAUGAACUUCUCUUCUCCAGGUUCAUUGCUUACAUACCCAAAAUCUGAUAGGUGUAUUCCAUUGUCCUAAAACUUAGUCUCCUUAGGCAAUGGAUGAAAAAAAGUAUCAUAUUAACUAAAGAUAUCUAUGAAAUAUGCUGGUCACUGAUUCUCAUUCUAGAUGAAACUGAGCCCUCCUCAGUGACUUUAAAAAUCUCAGUGGCCUGUCAAACAGUUGUCAAGUCUCUUUAGUAGAUGUUAGGAGGAGCUGGAACAGUGACUUUGCAACAAUCUCUCCUCAUAUUGAAAGAAGCAGAAUGACUUAAAAAAUCAGGUAUCCUGUUUUCCUGGGGAAUUUCCCUAGAAAAGCCUUGUUAAAUAGAAUGUUCUUUGAUGUUGGAAAUGUUCUAUAUCUGUGCUGUCCAGUGCAGGAAUCAUGAAGCACCUACAACUAUUUAACAUUUGAAAUGUGGAUAUUAGAGCGAGCAACUAAAUUUAAAUUUUAUUCAAAUUUAAGGAAUUUAAUUUUAAUUUUUUAAAAAUUUAUUAAACUAUAGUUGAUUUACAAUGUUCUGUUAAUUUCUGCUAUACAGCAAAGUGAUUCAGACAUAUGUAUAUUCUUCGUCUGUUCAUCUGGAAACCAUCCUGGAUAGAGACACAUAAUGUACAUCAAGUGUUAAUCAUCAAUCACUUUUGUAUGAGGUGUUGAUAAAAUUUGUGGUCAGUGUGGCUCAGGAAGUCUCUGACAUUCUUUGUUUUGAGUCUACACUACAGUUCUUCUCAGCUAAAUCUCAUGCUAAUUCUUCUCCAACACUCAUACCUGAUGAAAAGUCUAUUCAUUCUGAUGCUCUUAUCUCCUUCUGACAUUUUUUCAAAAUCCAUCCAUUAAAGUAUGCUAUAGAGUUGCAUAUUCCAAAGCUUUAGCUAACUCUGUUCCUAUUUUAUAAAGUUGUAUAAGUGCUGGUCUCUGGCUUUUCCCCCAUGUGAAUGGACUCCACGUGCAAUCUGCCAAACUUUCCCUUGGUGUCCUUUAAGUAGCAGAUACUAAGACGAAAUCAAACAUGUAAGGGUUCUCUUAGGAGAAAAUGCCCAGGUGAAAGGAAAGAGGCAGCUGGGGGUCCACCUGGCCAAUGGGUGAGUCUGGCCCAGAGUGGAGGGGAGAGGGAGACAGCAUUGAGUGGAGGGCCACAUAGUUCCAGAAUAGCCUUCAGGGAAGCCUCCAGAUGACGUUAGCCACUAAAGUCUUCUGUCUCUCUGGAAAGGGCCUGCUGUCCUCAGGCAUUGGCUGGAACACCUUUGGGAAUGGCAGCCUGAAACAAACACUGGAUUUCUAAGGUGGGGCUCUUGGUCAGUUACACUCUCAGUAGGAGGAGGUAGGCAAAGCUUAUUCUCAUGGCUCCCACACCUUAUUCAGUUCUGCUCCAAUUAUGAAGGAUAGACAAGAAAAUGGAAGGUGAAAAAAAAAUGUCUGAAUAUUACAUAGAGCACUCUCCCUCAUUGCUCAGAAUUAACCCCACUAAAUCCUCUAAGGGUAGUUCCACUUCUUCUCUGUCAAAUGUUUCCAUUGACUGCAGAAAUGGCGCUAGAACUAUCUCCUUGUAACUUUUCUGGGCUUUUCAGUUAAACUGUUAACCUACCUAUUUACAAAUGGGUCACACUGGAGCAGUUCAAGCAGGGCUGCAUUGGUAAUGCUUAAGGAUGGAACGUUGGACCAAUAUAAUUUUUUAACACCCCUCUAGCCAAUUCCAGGUUUGUUUUUUUGUUUUUUUUAAUUUCCAGAAUACACCAAAGAGAAGCUUUUCUUUCUUGUGUCCUGUUUGCAAGCUGCUGUACCAAUUUAUUUACAGUUUGAGGGUCUUUAAAGGGGCUUGAUGAAUAACACACUGCUUCUUCCUUCAGUUUCAGAAUAAUUAGGAAAUAAGGGGAAAAAAAAGUCAGUAGAUAGAGGCCCCCAAAUACCUUAAUUACUGGUAAAACUACUAUUGUAAAUUUGACUUAUAUCUAUGAACAAGCUGGUUCCCCAAUGCUGCAUCUAGAAUUAGGCUGCUCACCUGUUUAGCUUUGACUGCCCGAGAAUGGAGCAAGCAUCCUCUUCUCCAAGUGCAGGUUUCACCCAAGCUAUUGAGGAGAGCACAUGGUUUUCAGAACGCUUUCACAGUUUCUUUCUCAAAGUUCAUCAAUCAGGUUAACUCACCCCUCCUCUUCUGGGACUGGAUGGAUGAGGGAGGCAGAGAGAGGCCAGGAAUGUUAAAUAAACAGAGGGAAAGAUUAGCAGUGGGAAGGUACACUCCCUCCCUUACAGGGAACACAAAAUACCAAAAUGACACAUGUCAGGAAAUAUACAGAUCAGUAAUGAAACAGAGGCCAGGGACUCUCUUGUUUGUGGGUAGCCUUAAAAUUGUUUCUGGAAUUCUGAGUUCAACUAAUAGUUGCAUUUGUGUACCAUCUUCUUGUCUGGAUUCUUGAAAAAUAUGUUUUUCCUUUCUGUUUUGGCUCAAAACCUUGAGUCAGAGUGCUUUAAAAGAAGUUCAUGAAAGUUAUAAAUUCUUUCCUACCAAAAAGAUAUACAAACUCAAUUUUUGCCAUAGUGAUUAAAGGAGAGAUUGGAUUUCAUCCUGGACUCAAAACUCCCUGUCUCUUUUCUACAUUAUUUUUAUUUUGCGCGCGCGCGCGCGCGCACACACACACACACACACACACACACACAGGACUUGAGAGCCUAAAGUCCCUUUCUUUCAUUUCUAUUUUUCUUAAGCUCACUUGAGAUGAGCCAAAAUCACUAUAAUCCUGACUCUUGAAUUUAGGAGCUUAUGUGAAAUGGUCCAUAAACUCAUUCUAAGAAAAGGUAAGUUAAUGCUGUUUCUGUAUUACUGUGGAAGUAACCCCUUUCUCAAAAUCACUGUUAUGUUAUCUUUCCCAGGUCAGAAGUGCAACCUGAAUUUUAUGGAUCGGGGGGAAAAUUAUAGUAAUUGACUCAUUCGUUAUAGUGAGUUAGUAUAAUGUACUGAGUUGGAAUUUAGGCAUUGGAGUCAGGUGUAAUUGAACUUAAACCCUAGCUCUUUGACCUUGAAUGCACUACCAGACCUCUGUGGGACUUAAGUUCUUCAAAAAAUGAGUACAAUGAUAGAAUGUAUGUACAAAGCUAUGGUGAGAAUUAAAGGAGACAAUGUAUGAAAAGCAUUUAGCAUGGCACCCAGAGCAUAAUCAGCAGCCAAAAGGAAUAAGCCAUUCUUAUUUUUACCAUUAUUUUAUUCAACUUUGUAUGAACAGCAUCAGCCACAGUUGUUGACACAAAAUACAUGCUCAAGAAAUAUUUACUAAAUGAAUGACUAGGACAAGUUUAGUAGUUUAUUCUUUCUGUCCCAGUGUUGGCCUUACUAUAGUUUAUGUCAUUAUGUGGUGGAAUUCACAACACUGCCAUCCUUGAAUCCUUCUGUGACCAAGAAAAUCCAUCUGAAGGCAUGACACUAAAAAUUGUAGCAUAUCCAGCUGUUAUCUUGUUAAGAGACUAUCUGUUGAACACACAUUUACUUCAGAGUUUCUCUUCAGGAUAAAUCAAAAUGCUUUGGCUCAGAGUUCCUGACCCGGCUCAGAGGUAAGGAGCCUGACUAGCGUCCAUGAGGAUGCAGAUUCGAUCCCUCACCUCAUUCAGUGGGUUAAGGAUCUGGCGUUGUCAUAAACUGCAGUGUAGGUAGCAAAUGCGGCUCAGAUCUUGCAUUGCUGUGGCUGUGGUGUAGGCCAGCAGCUGCAGCUCCAAUUUGACCCCUAGCC
rnacentral:lncRNA from 1 species